GAUAGCUACAGGCUUUGCACGUGUUGGAAAGUUAUGACAACGUGGUAGAGAUGUGUAGGAUUUGGCGUGGACAGCUGGGGUUUUAGUUUUGUUUGUUGGUGUUUUGAGGCUGAGAUGGUUGUCAUAGCCAUGAGAGGUAGACGAGUUCGAGAGACGAACAGACGUCACAGCCAUUAGUGAUUUUGCAGUUUGAGACGAGAACUGUCGUUGAUUUGG